rnacentral:rRNA from 1 species
GAGCGGCGGACGGGUGAGUAACGCGUGGGUAACCUGCCUCAUACAGGGGGAUAACAGUUAGAAAUGGCUGCUAAUACCGCAUAAGCGCACAGGACCGCAUGGUCUGGUGUGAAAAACUCCGGUGGUAUGAGAUGGUCCCGCGUUGGAUUAGCUAGUUGGUGGGGUAACGGCCUACCAAGGCGACGAUCAGUAGCCGGUCUGAGAGGAUGAACGGCCACACUGGAACUGAGACACGGUCCAGACUCCUACGGGAGGCAGCAGUGGGGAAUCUUCCGCAAUGAGCGAAAGCCUGACCGAGCAACGCCGCGUGAGGGAGGAAGUAUUUCGGUAUGUAAACCUCUGUUAUAAAGGAAGAACGGCGCAUGUAGGGAAUGACAUGCGAGUGACGGUACUUUAUGAGAAAGCCACGGCUAACUACGUGCCAGCAGCCGCGGUAAUACGUAGGUGGCGAGCGUUAUCCGGAAUCAUUGGGCGUAAAGAGGGAGCAGGCGGCAACUAGGGUCUGCGGUAAAAGACCGAAGCUAAACUUCGGUAAGCCGUGGAAACCGAGGAGCUAGAGUGCAGUAGAGGAUCGUGGAAUUCCAUGUGUAGCGGUGAAAUGCGUAGAUAUAUGGAGGAACACCAGUGGCGAAGGCGACGAUCUGGGCUGCAACUGACGCUCAGUCCCGAAAGCGUGGGGAGCAAAUAGGAUUAGAUACCCUAGUAGUCCACGCCGUAAACGAUGAGUACUAAGUGUUGGGGGUCAGACCUCAGUGCUGCAGUUAACGCAAUAAGUACUCCGCCUGAGUAGUACGUUCGCAAGAAUGAAACUCAAAGGAAUUGACGGGGGCCCGCACAAGCGGUGGAGCAUGUGGUUUAAUUCGAAGCAACGCGAAGAACCUUACCAGGGCUUGACAUAUGGGUGAAGCGGGGGAGACCCCGUGGCCGAGAGGAGCCCAUACAGGUGGUGCAUGGCUGUCGUCAGCUCGUGUCGUGAGAUGUUGGGUUAAGUCCCGCAACGAGCGCAACCCCCGCCGCGUGUUGCCAUCGGGUGAUGCCGGGAACCCACGCGGGACCGCCGCCGUCAAGGCGGAGGAGGGCGGGGACGACGUCAAGUCAUCAUGCCCCUUAUGCCCUGGGCUGCACACGUGCUACAAUGGCCGGUACAGAGGGAUGCCACCCCGCGAGGGGGAGCGGAUCCCGGAAAGCCGGCCCCAGUUCGGAUUGGGGGCUGCAACCCGCCCCCAUGAAGUCGGAGUUGCUAGUAAUCGCGGAUCAGCAUGCCGCGGUGAAUGCGUUCCCGGGCCUUGUACUCACCGCCCGUCA